UUCCCGCAUUUGUCGCCAGUGUGUAAUUUCCCUCCAUUUGGUUCCACUUCCCCUGUUUUCCAUUUCUGCUCUUCUUUUCUUUUCCCUUUCUUUCUUAUUCUUCCUUGAUUCUCCGUCCUUUCAUAUCCUUUCCAUUGUCAUCCCCCGUUUCUGUUCUUCUCUGAGUUCAUCACCAUCAUCAUUUUGGUCCAAUUUUCUCUGUUUCGUGCUUUCUGAAUCCAGGUGCUGAAGUCUCAUGAUAUUGCAAUUGACUGCAUGCGGUGAGACAGGAAACUUAAUCGAGUCCGUUUAAGCUCUGACAUCCUUUUAGAUGUUGCCUGGACUUGAAUGCUUGUUCCAAUGGAUUAAAUUUCUAUAUCUGUUCUCACAUCAUAAUGGCAUGCAGUCAGGAUAUGUUCUAGAACCAGUCUCUCAUAGGUCGAUAGGGUUGCAAACAUUGUUGCAAUGAAAUGAGUAAACUAUUGCAGCGUUUUUCUCUAUACGUAAUGAGAGAAGUCUUUAGGGUUUCAAUAAGUUAUAAAAUAAAUUGGACAAAAGUAUGUCUUAUUGGUGCCAUUUUGACUGUUGGAGGCAUUGCACUUCAAAUGUUGAUACUUCCUUAUCCAUUGCACACAUGGUUCGUUUCUCGACCUGCAACAGUUAUAUUAUAUGAACCCAUGGAGGAAACCAUGGAAUUGAAUGAAACCCACAAUAAUAGUACAGAAAGGCUCCCAUUGAUACCAUUGAACUCUGUUGUCCAGCAAAAUGCUACAGAUCAAAUGGUUCAACUUGUUUCAGUGAAUCAGGAGAGAGAGACAGCUCCUAAAAGAAGAAAAUCAUCUAGAAGAAGGAAGCAUGCCAAGUUAAAAGAGAAGCCAAUUAUUCUAACUCCUCCUCCUCCACCUAGGAGACCGCCUUCCGCAUUGGAGAGGCAUGUUUGGUCCUUGAAGCCUGUGGAAGCACUUGCUUAUGCAAAGGAGGAGCUUAAGCAUGCUCCAACAGUAAUAGAUGAUGCUGAUCUGUAUGCCCCUUUGUUCUUGAAUGUAUCUAUCUUCAAAAGGAGUUAUGAACUGAUGGAACUGAUACUCAAAGUUUACAUUUACCGAGAUGGAUCUAGACCUAUCUUCCACACUCCCCAUCUGAGGGGAAUUUAUGCUUCUGAAGGGUGGUUUAUGAAGCUGAUGGAGGAAAACAGGCAGUUUGUCACAAAAGACCCAGAAAAGGCGCACUUAUUUUAUCUUGCAUAUAGUUCUCGCCAGCUGCAGACGGCUCUUUAUGUGCCUGAUUCUCACAACAUGAAACCAUUGUCAAUAUACCUGAGGGACCAUGUGAAUUGGAUUGCUGGAAAGUAUCCAUAUUGGAACCGCACACAUGGCUACGAUCAUUUCCUUGUUGCUUGCCAUGACUGGGGCCCCUAUACUGUCAAUGAACAUAGAGAACUUAGCCAAAACACCAUAAAGGCUUUAUGCAAUGCUGAUCUCUCAGAAGGGGUUUUCAAACUUGGGAAGGAUGUUUCCUUGCCAGAAACUACUAUAAGGACACCAAGGAAACCUCUUAGAAAUGUUGGUGGGAAAAGGGUAUCACAGCGGCCAAUUCUUGCUUUCUUUGCUGGGAACAUGCAUGGGAGAGUCCGUCCAAUACUUCUGAAGCAUUGGAAUGACAAAGAUGAUGAUAUUAGAGUUUAUGGACCUUUGCCACUGAGAGUCUCCCGUAAGAUGACAUAUAUACAACAUAUGAAGUCAAGCAAAUACUGCAUAUGUCCAAUGGGAUACGAAGUAAACAGCCCAAGGAUAAUCGAAGCCAUUUAUUAUGAAUGUGUCCCAGUAAUUAUUGCUGAUAAUUUUGUGCUUCCUUUUAGUGAGUUUCUUGAUUGGAGUGCAUUCUCUGUGGUUGUGGCUGAAAAGGAUAUUCCCAAGCUGAAGGAGAUUCUGACGGCUAUCCCAUUGAAGAGAUAUCUUACAAUGCAGAUAAAUGUGAAGAUGGUUCAGAAACACUUUCUUUGGAACCCAAAACCCCUUAAAUAUGAUUUGUUUCACAUGGUUCUGCACUCAAUUUGGUUUAGUAGACUGAAUCUAUUUCCAAUCCCUCGGACAUAAUACCUCUUUGAUCUUCUGAUUUGAAUGAAAAACUGUCUAGAGACGAAUGUCUUAAAAGAGCUGAGGAGUUUACGGAAAAGAGUAAUUUAUUGUAGAGUAAGAAGAAAGUUGUCCCAAGUUUGUUGCCUCGAUGUUGGUGUUGUCUUGAGUAGAGUAUGUAUAUCAUCAUCUUGAUAAUUAACACAACCACGCCUAAGGAAUAGAAUGGCACUCGGGAAUCAUCAAGCAGCAUAUGUACAGCUGUAUGUUCCAAUCCCCGCUGUAGGAAAGACAAGGAAAAGAGGACUUUGCCACUUCAUAUGCAAAUGCUGCAGCACAGAGGAAACUUUUAUAUUGUUGAAGAUAUACACCCAUACACAUUAUGCAAAGUACAUAUUGUAAGUUAGCAUUUCUCUUGGCUAAUAAAUUACUGUAAAUUGGAUGGAUUGGUUAAGUAAAUAAAUUGAUUUAUAUAAAUACAGAAUAAGGAUUUGAGGGAGCAA